rnacentral:rRNA from 1 species
UACGUAGGGACCGAGCGUUGUCCGGAUUCAUUGGGCGUAAAGAGCUCGUAGGCGGCCACUCAAGUCGAAUGUGAAACCUCGAGGCUUAACCUCGAGCCUGCAUUCGAUACUGGGCGGCUAGAGUCUGGUAGGGGGAUCUGGAAUUCCUGGUGUAGCGGUGGAAUGCGCAGAUAUCAGGAGGAACACCGGUGGCGAAGGCGGGUCUCUGGACAGUUCCUGACACUGAGACACGAAGGCCAGGGGAGCAAACGGG